rnacentral:rRNA from 1 species
GGCGCGGUCGGGCGGUCCGCCGUUACGCGGCGUGUACUGCCUCGGUCGCGCCUUUCCUUCUGGGGAGCCGGUGUGCCCUUCGCUGGGUGUGCCGGGGAGCCAGGACCUUUACCUUGAAAAAAUUAGAGUGUUCAAAGCAGGCAUUUGCUCGGAUACAUUAGCAUGGAAUAAUAGAAUAGGACGUCGAUCCUAUUUUGUUGGUUUCUAGGACCGCCGUA